rnacentral:lncRNA from 10 species
GUGGAGCCGACCUGCCAUUGGGUAAACGCAAGGGAGGAGAAAAGGCUCCAUACCUACCUAACAUCUAUCUUCUCAAGAACUCUGCCAGGGAAGGAGUAGUUUCUGUGUUUCAUAAACAGACUGAGACUCAAAGAGGCUAAGUAAACUACCUGAAGCCAUAUAUAGCAACACACAAUGACGGAUGUGAGAUUCAAACUUGGAUUUAUCUGGCUCCAAAAUUUCUAGUUUUUUUUUUUUUUUUUUUCCCACUACAGCAAAACUAAGGAGAAGAGACAGAGGUGAAUAGCUGUCUCUCAGUGGUUAUUCUGUUUUCCCUUAUCUACAUGUUUUCCUCCUUUCACUCUCUCUUGGUUUGUUCUUAUCCUUCAGAGGUAAAGAGGAGCCUUCAGAGAGCUAUAAAGGUUGAUCAAAGUACCAGAUUAUGAGAUUAUUUGGAGGCUAAUAUGUAAUCCUUGGGGUUUCCUUUCUCAUCUCACCCUUACAGCUGCCUGUAUUAAUGCUUUCUGAUUAACAUAUGGUCUCCUUUUUAUUCUAGAAAACACUAGAUCUGAAUAACAAAGGAUGCAUACUUAAGCAAACUAAGGCAUAUAUAGUUAUCACUAAAUGCUCAACCUGGAAAGAAUACUGGAUUGCAGUCUGCUUU